UUUUUUUUUUUUCUUUUUAUUUUUAUUUAUUAGUUUCAUUUUUCCUUUUCAUUUUUAGUUAUUAAGUGUCCAUAAUAAUAUUCUUUUUUUUUUUAAAUAUAGUGCCUUUUAUUUACAUUAUAAUAAUUUUAACUUAAUUAAAAUCCCUAAUAAAUGAAUUAAUAAAUCUUUUUAAUAGAAAAAUAACAUUCAUUUUUCAAUUGUUUCGUUUCAAGUUCAUUUGUGUUUACUCUUUUGUGAAAAGUAAUUGUGAAAAGAUAAUUAGAAAAAUCCAUGCUUUAAUUAUAAAUCCAUACUUACGAUUUCAACAAAUGAACAUGUAAUCGAAGUUUUCCAUAGAAAAUGAUAAGUUUGAAAAUUUUCAGUAGAAAUCAGAAAUCUGUUUUGGACUAGUAAACAGACCCUGAGAUUCUCAAAUCCAAAGCAAGAAUUUUGGCACCUGUUUUCGUCUAUUUCCAAAAAUCUAUAGACUAUAUAAUUUUAUCUGAAUCCUAAAAUUGCGGAAACAUUGUAUCAAAGUGCUUUAUGAUGUCUCUCUAGUAGCCAUGAUGAAAUCUAGACCCCAAUUCUAAAUUUCCAAGUCUAAACAUUCCUGGAUCCCAAGUUGUUUGCAAUUUAGCUUAUAUUGCUUUGGAUAUAAUGAGUAUUCACUUUCUUCUUCUCCUUCUUCUUCAGAAUUGCAGGAUAUUCUCCCUCAAG
rnacentral:misc_RNA from 1 species